rnacentral:lncRNA from 1 species
CGGGUUUGUCCUGGGUGGAUUUUUGGGUGGGAUUUGGGGGACCCCAGACCCCUCCAGAGCUUUGGGGGGACCCCGGGAUUUCUGGGGGCGCCCCUGGGAGCUCAUCCUGGGUUAUCCCGGGUUUAUCCUGGGUUAUCCCGGCUCUGUCCUGGGUGGAUUUUUGGUGGGAUUUGGGGACCCCAGACCCCUCCAGAGCUUUGGGGGGACCCCGGGAUUUCUGGGGGUGCCCCUGGGAGCUUAUCCUGGGUUAUCCCAGGUUUAUCCUGGGUCUGUCCCGGUUUGUCCCCAAAGUGUCCUGGGUGGAUUUUUUGGGGGGAUUUGGGGACCCCAGACCCCUGGUUGGUUUUUGGGGUGCCUCGGUGGAUUUGGGGGUGCCCUGGGAGGUUCUCCUGGGUUAUCCCGGGUUAUCCCGGGUUUAUCCUGG